AAUGCGGCUAGUACGGUGUUGGCCCAACAGGGUGUUUAGAUUUUUUUGAAUUGGGAAAUUUCUUUUGAAAACCCUAAAAUGGGGCUUUCACUGAAACAUCUUAUUAUCUGCUGAGGGAUUCCCCCAGGGAAGCCAAGCCCGAAGCUGAGCAGAGCUCUGAGCGCCAGCAUUUCUGACUCACAAGGUGUGGGCUGGCGCCCUAGAAUCUGCUGGUCUGACCUGUUCAAGGUGACGGACGAGGCGGGUCGGGGCAUCUGAGAGUCAGUUAUGCAUCACAGCUUUUGUACCUCCAGAUGCAGCCAGACUCUGUUCACAUUUCCCAUCUCUUGUUCUCUGAAACAUUUAGUCUUUGAGGUCAGCUCUGCACAUACCUGAUCCCACCCACCAAUACGCUACUUUGAUUGUUAGACUUCUAGAAAUUCUAGGGCUUUUUAGCAUUUCUUUGGUCUCACUGAUUUUUUUUUUUUUUUUUUAAGUUUUGUUCAGCGAAGAGUGUUGGCCAGUUCUCCCCAGUGUGGUAAAAGGAUGUGAAAGGAAGGUAUUUAGAAAAGUCCACUCGAGGAUAAGAACUACGGUGGACGCAUUUAUUCCGCGUCACGAUCUGGUUCAAGUGCGCCCUGGGGAAGAGAAACGAAAUGAAGUUCAGCUCCCGCGUGACGAUCCUGUUUCUCUCUUUGCUGUUUUUCACGCUUUCUCUGGGCCUCAUUCUGGCUGUCGUGGCCUCCUUGUCAAGAGGAGGUCAGGUUCACGUUGCUCACGCUUCUGAAACUAUGUCGCUGUUUCUAUGUUCGGGGCCCAGUGUGCCGUUCCAGCUCCUUCGCUGUCCAGAGAGGCCACGAGCAGAUUGUGUGUCAGUGGGCAGUGGCCGCGUGGAAGUUAGUGAAAGUUAAUGAAAUCAGACCGUGGGAACCCUGGAACAAAAAGCUGUGUCCAGGGUGUCAGCCACGGUAGGGACAAAAAAGUCCCGGGAGACUUUAAAACAGGACUGCCCAUGUUUUAUUUUUGAAAAACGUUUGACUAAGGAAUUUUCUGUGCGAGUGCCUUCCCAACGGUUUCUAACGCUGCCGAACGUCAGCCCCUCGAAAAAUCCUUAUGCCCGCAGGGAAACUUGAAAAAAGAUUUAUGCCUGGGCCCUACCCUCCGGAGCCUCCGAUUUAACUCUUUCUAGGCACCAAGCAAAGGGAUUUACAAGCAUUAUCUUAUUUACUCUUCACAACACCAUUCGAUGGAGGACUUAAGUCUCUUGUUUAAGCUCACAGCUGCUAAGAGGUGGGGCGAGGCCUCAGAUUCAAGCGGUCUGUCCAGAAAGCACCUGCUCUUGAAGAAACUAUCUCAAAUGCAAAGGAUAAAAAAAAAAAACACGUACAAGAAUACUCACUGCAACAGCGUUCAAAGUGGAGAGAAAGAAAAAUAAUGAAUGCCCAACAUGGGGGUAACGGCUGAAUGAACUAUAACAUACCCCCACCUUCAAACAUUUUGUAGCUGUCAAAAAACAAUGAAUUAAAGAUUGUACCAGUUGCAUGA